rnacentral:rRNA from 1 species
GACGAACGCUGGCGGCGUGCUUAACACAUGCAAGUCACGGGGGCCCGCAAGGGCAACCGGCGAACGGGUGCGUAACACGUGAGCAAGCUUCCGAUUAGUGGGGGAUAGCCGGCCCAACGGCCGGGUAAUACCGCAUACGUUCACUGGACGGCAUCGUCUGGUGAGGAAACCUCCGGGGCUAAUCGAGGCGCUCGCGGCCUAUCAGCUAGUUGGCGGGGUAACGGCCCACCAAGGCUAUGACGGGUAGCUGGUCUGAGAGGAUGGCCAGCCACAUUGGGACUGGGACACGGCCCAGACUCCUACGGGAGGCAGCAGUGGGGAAUAUUGCGCAAUGGACGAAAGUCUGACGCAGCGACGCCGCGUGUGGGAUGAAGCUCUUCGGGGUGUAAACCACUGUUGCCCGGGACGAACCUCCCCUUUCGAGGGGACUGACGGUACCGGGUGAGGAAGCACCGGCUAACUACGUGCCAGCCGCCGCCGUAACAC